AGUCUCACCAUUGUCUCUUGCAUGGCAAUUCUGAAUUUCUUUUUUUCACAUUUUUAUGCUCUUUUUGUUGGUGAUUUCACUGUUUAAAAUAUUUCCAAGCAUGGUGCUGAAGUGCUGUCUAGUGUUUCCACUGCAAGAAGGCUUGUGGAAAAAAAAUAUGUGUUAGAUAAGCUGUGUUCAGGCAUGAGUUCUAGUGCUGUUGGCCAUGACUUCAAUGUCAACAAAUCAAUAAAGGUAUAAGGAAGAAAUUCCUCUUUCUUUUUCUUCAUAUCAGAAGCCAUUUUUUUCUUAAAUCUAUCUUUUAAAAAAAAAUCUGUCCUUCCUCAUCGUUUUAUAGUACCAUCUUUAUCAAUAUCAAAUUCCUACACACCUCAUCUACCUCUGAGCUAUCUAUUAUAUUCCAUUAUUAUUUUGGCUAUUGUUAUGCCAGAACAAUACUACUUUAUUAUUAUAGCUUUGAAGUAUGUCUUUUAUCCUAGCUUUUAUCCUAGCUGAUAAUGGAAGCCCCUUCAUGUUUUUUAAAAUUGACUUAGCUAUUUGUUUGUCUUUAUUCUUUCAUUUAAAUUUUGGGCCAGGUGUGGUGGCUCAUGCCUGUAAUACCAGCACUUUGGGAGGCCAAGGCAGAUGGAUCACCUGAGGUCAGGAGUUCGAGACUAGCCUAGCCAACAUGGUGAAACCCUGUCUCCACUAAAAAUACAAAAAUUAGCUAGGCGUGGUGGCGGGUGCCUGUAAUCCCAUCUGCUUGGGAGGCUGAAGCAGGAGAAUUGCUUGAACCCAGGAGGCAGAGUUUGCAAUAAGCCAAGAUCAUGCCAUUGCCCUCCAGCCUGGGUGACAAGAGCAAAACUCUGUCUCUAAAUAAAUAAAUAAAUUUUGCAGUAAGUUUGCAAGCUCUCUCAAAAAUUCAGCAAUAAUUUUCAGGGGGUUGUAUUAUGCUACCCCUCCCCACUAUAAAUGGGGAUGUAGCUCCCCAUUUAUUUGAAUCUUCUUUUAGUUUUUAAUUUUUUUCAGCAAACUUGGUAGUCAUUUUUGGUAGGAUAAACUUUAUUAUUUAUGUUACUAUUGUGAAAAAAUUAAAACUUUUUUCUAAUUGUUAUGCUAGAGAAAGAAAACCAGUUUCUAGCUAGUAUGUUGGUUACCAACAACUGCUCUUAUCACACUGAAUUAUAAUUACCUUGUUGUUACUUGUAUGUGUUU
rnacentral:lncRNA from 1 species